rnacentral:rRNA from 1 species
UGUCCUUGACAUACUAAGAACUUUCCAGAGAUGGAUUGGUGCCUUCGGGAACUUAGAUACAGGUGCUGCAUGGCUGUCGUCAGCUCGUGUCGUGAGAUGUUGGGUUAAGUCCCGCAACGAGCGCAACCCUUUUCCUUAUUUGCCAGCGGGUAAUCCCGGGAACUUUAAGGAUACUGCCAGUGACAAACUGGAGGAAGGCGGGGAUGACGUCAAGUCAUCAUGGCCCUUACGGCCAGGGCUACACACGUGCUACAAUGGUCGGUACAAAGGGUUGCUACCUCGCGAGAGGAUGCUAAUCUCAAAAAGCCGAUUGUAGUCCGGAUCGCAGUCUGCAACUCGACUGCGUGAAGUCGGAAUCGCUAGUAAUCGCGGAUCAGAAUGCCGCGGUGAAUACGUUCCCGGGCCUUGUACACACCGCCCGUCACACCAUGGGAGUUUGUUGCACCAGAAGUAGGUAGUCUAACCGCAAGGAGGACGC